CCUACGGGGGGCUGCAGUGGGGAAUAUUGGACAAUGGGCGAAAGCCUGACCCAGCCAUGCCGCGUGUGUGAAGAAGGCCUUCGGGUUGUAAAGCACUUUCAGUGGGGAAGAAAGCCUUGGGGCUAAUACCCUCGAGGAAGGACAUCACCCACAGAAGAAGCACCGGCUAACUCCGUACCAGCAGCCGCGGUAAUACGGAGGGUGCGAGCGUUAAUCGGAAUUACUGGGCGUAAAGCGCGCGUAGGCGGUCUGAUAAGCCGGUUGUGAAAGCCCCGGGCUCAACCUGGGAACGGCAUCCGGAACUGUCAGGCUAGAGUGCAGGAGAGGAAGGUAGAAUUCCCGGUGUAGCGGUGAAAUGCGUAGAGAUCGGGAGGAAUACCAGUGGCGAAGGCGGCCUUCUGGACUGACACUGACGCUGAGGUGCGAAAGCGUGGGUAGCAAACAGGAUUAGAUACCCCAGUAGUC
rnacentral:rRNA from 1 species